rnacentral:misc_RNA from 1 species
AAGAAUCAAAUUACGGGCACCUGAAAUUUGUUCAUUUAAAAUUCCUUUCCCUUUUUAACCCUGUCUUGGAUUUUAAAUCUCAAUCCUACCGAGUAUCACCACCUCCUUUUCGAAAUGAAAUCGUCUCGCUCAUAAUUACAAUUCAUUAUCGGAUCAACCAAAAUCUGGACCCUAAUUUAUUAGGGUUUUCUAAUUUUAUGAUCCCGAAAUCUUAUUUGAUCUUCUUCUCCUGAAAUUGACUCAUCUUUACUGGAAUUAUUCAUUUCGAUCAAUCCAAUUGAUCUGUAUAUACAUAAAAGGAAAACCCUAUUUUGAUAAAU